rnacentral:lncRNA from 1 species
GCGUGUGGCUGCAGAGCUCCAAGUGGCCACUGGGCGCUUGGGAGCUGCACGGGAGCCUCUUGUUCACCACUAACAUCUGCUACACCAGGCACCAGGCCAGGCCUCGGGGCACAGGUUGGUGGCUAGGGGACAGAGCUGGCCUCAAGGACAGACUUGGGCCAGGCGUGGCAGAGCACGCCUGUAAUCCCAGCAGCUCAGGAGGCUCAGACAGGAGGAUAGUGAGUUCAAAACCAGCCUCAGCAAUGGCGAGGUGCUAAGCAACUCAGUCAGAUCCCGUCUCUAAAUAAAAUACAAAACAGGGCUGGGGACGUGGCUCAGUGGUUAAGUGCCCCUGAGUUCAAUCCCCAGUAACAACAACAAAGUAGACAGACUUGGCCCAUCAGCCCCGGCUGGCUCCAGGAGCUUGGGGAGAG